rnacentral:tRNA from 1 species
GCCGAAGUGGCGGAACCGGCAGACGCACGGGUUUCAAAAACCCGAGCCCCUUCAUCGGGGCGUGGGGGUUCGAGUCCCCCCUUCGGCA